GCUUGCAUUUAACUUGUUUAUCAAUCUCAUGAGCUCAACUUGUAUUUAGCUCAUUUACAAAGCUGGUAAGAUCAACUCGAACUUCGCUCAUUAAACAAACAAGCCAAGCUUCAAGCAGCUCACAAGUGCCUCAGCCCAUUAACAACCCUAAACACUGGGGUGUGUAAAAUCACACUACUGCAAAAAAAUUUGAAUGAGGCAAUUUACUUGCCUAGUCUUCUAUCUACUCAUUGCAUUCUAAAAAGUUUAUAUUUAAACACCACAAGCAAAAAUGCAUAUACUAUCACCUCCAGCUCUCCGACUGAUAAAGUUUUGAGCACAUUGUAUACAGCAGCAAUAUAAAGGCCUUCGUUAAAGUUACAAACUCAAAAGCAAGUUUAAAAACGAGAACGUUGCACCUUGCUUUGGACACUCACUCAUUUGUGAAGGCAAAUAUUGU
rnacentral:misc_RNA from 1 species